GACGAACGCUGGCGGCGUGCCUAAUACAUGCAAGUUGAGCGCUGAAGGUUGGUACUUGUACCAACUGGAUGAGCAGCGAACGGGUGAGUAACGCGUGGGGAAUCUGCCUUUGAGCGGGGGACAACAUUUGGAAACGAAUGCUAAUACCGCAUAAAAACUUUAAACACAAGUUUUAAGUUUGAAAGAUGCAAUUGCAUCACUCAAAGAUGAUCCCGCGUUGUAUUAGCUAGUUGGUGAGGUAAAGGCUCACCAAGGCGAUGAUACAUAGCCGACCUGAGAGGGUGAUCGGCCACAUUGGGACUGAGACACGGCCCAAACUCCUACGGGAGGCAGCAGUAGGGAAUCUUCGGCAAAGGACGAAAGUCUGACCGAGCAACGCCGCGUGAGUGAAGAAGGUUUUCGGAUCGUAAAACUCUGUUGGUAGAGAAGAACGUUGGUGAGAGUGGAAAGCUCAUCAAGUGACGGUAACGACCCAGAAAGGGACGGCUAACUACGU
rnacentral:rRNA from 1 species